rnacentral:ncRNA from 1 species
UUACUCUGGAGAGUCCUUCCACGGGAAACGUUUGCUGAUUCUCGUAUAGAAGGCGCCGAAGGUGUACGGCAGAUUACUGCUAAUCUCUCAGGCAAAAGGACAGAGCA